rnacentral:rRNA from 1 species
UACAGAGGGUGCGAGCGUUGUCCGGAAUCACUGGGCGUAAAGGGCGCGUAGGUGGCGACCCAAGUCGAUGGUGAAAGCUCGCCGCUCAACGGCGAGUCGGCCACCGAUACUGGGUUGCUGGAGCACUGUAGAGGCAGAUGGAAUUCCGGGUGUAGCGGUGGAAAUGCGUAGAGAUCCGGAGGAACACCGAUGGCGAAGGCAGGUCUCUGGGCCAUUACUGACACGUG